rnacentral:rRNA from 1 species
UACGUAGGGUGCGAGCGUUAAUCGGAAUUACUGGGCGUAAAGCGUGCGCAGGCGGUUCGUUGUGUCGGUGGUGAAAGCCCCGGGCUUAACCUGGGAAUGGCCAUGGAAACUGGCGAACUGGAGUGCCGGAGGGGAGAGUGGAAUUCCUGGUGUAGCGGUGAAAUGCGUAGAUAUCAGGAGGAACACCGGUGGCGAAGGCGGGUCUCUGGGCCGAUACUGACGCUGAGGAGCGAAAGCGUGGGGAGCGAACAGG